UACAGAGGUCUCAAGCGUUGUUCGGAUUCAUUGGGCGUAAAGGGCGCGUAGGCGGCGGGGUAAGUCUGGUGUGAAAUCUAGGAGCUCAACUCCUAAACUGCACUGGAUACUGCUCUGCUAGAGGACUGAAGAGGAGACUGGAAUUCACGGUGUAGCAGUGAAAUGCGUAGAUAUCGUGAGGAAGACCAGUGGCGAAGGCGGGUCUCUGGACAGUUCCUGACGCUGAGGCGCGAAGGCCAGGGGAGCAAACGGG
rnacentral:rRNA from 1 species